GUUAUACUCCCUCCGUUCUGAAUUACUUGUCGCAGGUAUAAAUGUAUCCAGAUGUAUUUUAGUUUUAGAUACAUCCAUUUCUGCGACGAGUAAUUUGGAACGGAGGGAGUAUCUC
rfam:Triticum urartu cultivar G1812 contig551369, whole genome shotgun sequence.